CCUUGUGGUUGCAUAACUGGGCUGGAACCACCCCUUCCCAUUCCGAACAGGCAGGUGAAACGGCCCAGUGCCGAUGGUAGUGCCUUCGGGCGCGAGAGUAGGUACUGCAAGGG
rnacentral:rRNA from 1 species